rnacentral:rRNA from 1 species
AUUGAACGCUGGCGGCAUGCCUUACACAUGCAAGUCGAACGGUAACAGGUCUUCGGAUGCUGACGAGUGGCGAACGGGUGAGUAAUACAUCGGAACGUGCCUAGUAGUGGGGGAUAACUGCUCGAAAGAGUGGCUAAUACCGCAUGAGAUCUACGGAUGAAAGCAGGGGAUCGCAAGACCUUGUGCUACUAGAGCGGCCGAUGGCAGAUUAGGUAGUUGGUGGGAUAAAAGCUUACCAAGACGACGAUCUGUAGCUGGUCUGAGAGGACGAUCAGCCCAACUGGGACUGAAACACGGCCCAGACUCCUACGGGAGGCAGCAGUGUGGAAUUUUGGACAAUGGGCGAAAUCCUGAUCCAGCAAUGCCGCGUGCAGGAUGAAGGCCUUCGUGUUGUAAACUGCUUUUGUACGGAACGAAAAGCCCCGGGUUAAUACCCUGGGGUCAUGACGGUACCGUAAGAAUAAGCACCGGCUAACUACGUGCCAGCCGCCGCGGUAA